CCUACGGGAGGCAGCAGUGGGGAAUAUUGGACAAUGGGGGCAACCCUGAUCCAGCCAUGCCGCGUGUGUGAAGAAGGCCCUCGGGUUGUAAAGCACUUUCAGUGAGGAAGAACGCCUGGUGGUUAAUACCCAUCAGGAAAGACAUCACUCACAGAAGAAGCACCGGCUAACUCCGUGCCAGCAGCCGCGGUAAUACGGAGGGUGCGAGCGUUAAUCGGAAUUACUGGGCGUAAAGCGCGCGUAGGUGGCUUGAUAAGCCGGUUGUGAAAGCCCCGGGCUCAACCUGGGAACGGCAUCCGGAGAGGCGGGACUAAGGGGCAGGAGCGGGAGGCACAGGGCCGGGUGGAGCGGGGACAUGCGGAGACACCCGGAGGAGGGGCAGUGGAGAAGGCGGCCUAAAGGACGGACACUGACAUCGAAGUUCGAAAGCGUGGGUAGCAAGCGGGAUUAGGGAAACUAGGCGCC
rnacentral:rRNA from 1 species